rnacentral:rRNA from 1 species
UGGGGAGUAUUGCACAAUGGGGGGAAACCCGUACGAUGCAGCGACGCCGCGUGGAGGAAGAAGGUUUUCGGUAUUGUAAACUCCUGUCGUUAGGGACGAUAAUGACGGUACCUAACAAGAAAGCACCGGCUAACUACGUGCCAGCAGCCGCGGUAAAACGUAGGGUGCAAGCGUUGUCCGGAAUUACUGGGUGUAAAGGGAGCGCAGGCGGACCGGCAAGUUGGAAGUGAAAACUAUGGGCUCAACCCAUAAAUUGCUUUCAAAACUGCUGGCCUUGAGUAGUGCAGAGGUAGGUGGAAUUCCCGGUGUAGCGGUGGAAUGCGUAGAUAUCGGGAGGAACACCAGUGGCGAAGGCGACCUACUGGGGCACCAACUGACGCUGAGGCUCGAAAGCAUGGGUAGCAAACAGGAUUAGAUACCCUGGUAGU